rnacentral:rRNA from 1 species
UACGAGAGGCCCAAACGUUAUUCGGAUUUACUGGGCUUAAAGAGUUCGUAGGCGGUCUAGAAAGUUGGGUGUGAAAGCCCUCGGCUCAACCGAGGAACUGCGCUCAAAACUACUAGACUUGAGGGAGAUAGAGGUGAGCGGAACUGAUGGUGGAGCGGUGAAAUGCAUUGAUAUCAUCAGGAACACCGGAGGCGAAGGCGGCUCACUGGGUCUCUACUGACGCUGAGGAACGAAAGCUAGGGGAGCAAACAGG